UCACAGGCUCUUUUAGAGCCACACUUCAAUUAGUGCAAUGAUUAGU
rfam:Lepisosteus oculatus linkage group LG9, whole genome shotgun sequence.